AGGGCUCAACUCCGAGUGGGUGAAGCCCAGCGCGCUUUCGGACAACUGGCGUUGGAGGGACUGUGGAUCUUGCGUUCGCCCCGCCUUAGCCGUGAGCCAAGGCUUGUUGCUAGGGACUGGGGCAAAAAUACCUUACCUGAGAACAAGACAGGAACUAGGCCAGUGCCCUCAGAGCCGAGUUCUAGACCAGGACAACUCCCGGCGUGGAUGAAAGCACACAGCAGUUAAAAAGCAGAGAAGGCCACCAAGGAGAAGCAGGAAGAAGCCCAAAACCAGCAGCCUGGAGCCACACAGAGCCAGCUCUUCCUAAGGGCUGGUAUGCAGUUCACUGAGCCUGACAUUUCCAGGGAUCAUCCUGACAGGACAGAACAAGGCUGGGACUCAGAGUCAGAAAGCCUAGGUUGAUAGCCUAGGUCUGCUGCUUAAGUAAUAUUGCCUUCAAGACACAACAUGCAGCAAAAGACAUCUAUGAAAGCCUGAUAACCUGAAGAAGCUCUUACCGCCGUGAGCAG